GAUGAAGAACGUAGCAAAAUGCGAUACUUGGUGUGAAUUGCAGAAUCCCGUGAACCAUCGAGUUUUUGAACGCAAGUUGCGCCCGAAGCCUUUUGGCCGAGGGCACGUCUGCCUGGGCGUCACGCAUCGCGUCGCCCCCCACAACUCUCCGUAAAGGGAACUUGUGUUUUGGGGGCGGAUAUUGGUCUCCCGUGCUCAUGGCGUGGUUGGCCGAAAUAGGAGUCCCUCCGGUGGACGCACGAACUAGUGGUGGUCGUAAAAACCCUCGUCUUUUGUUUCGUGCCGUUAGUCGCGAGGGAAACUCUUUAAAAACCCAAAUGUGUCGUCUCUUGACGGCGCUUCGACCGCGACCCCAGGUCAGGCGGGGCUACCCGCUGAGUUUAAGCAUAUCAAUAAGCGGAGGA
rnacentral:misc_RNA from 1 species